AGACCCGAAACCCGGUGAUCUAGCCAUGGGCAGGUUGAAGGUUGGGUAACACUAACUGGAGGACCGAACCGACUAAUGUUGAAAAAUUAGCGGAUGACCUGUGGCUGGGGGUGAAAGGCCAAUCAAACCGGGAGAUAGCUGGUUCUCCCCGAAAGCUAUUUAGGUAGCGCCUCGUGAAUUCAUCUCCGGGGGUAGAGCACUGUUUCGGCUAGGGGGCCAUCCCGGCUUACCAACCCGAUGCAAACUGCGAAUACCGGAGAAUGUUAUCACGGGAGACACACGGCGGGUGCUAACGUCCGUCGUGAAGAGGGAAACAACCCAGACCGCCAGCUAAGGUCCCAAAGUCAUGGUUAAGUGGGAAACGAUGUGGGAAGGCCCAGACAGCCAGGAUGUUGGCUUAGAAGCAGCCAUCAUUUAAAGAAAGCGUAAUAGCUCACUGGUCGAGUCGGCCUGCGCGGAAGAUGUAACGGGG
rnacentral:rRNA from 3 species